rnacentral:rRNA from 1 species
UUCCGGUUGAUCCUGCCGGAGGUCACUGCUAUUGGGAUUCGACUAAGCCAUGCGAGUCGAGAGGGUUCGGCCCUCGGCUGACGGCUCAGUAACACGUGGAUAAUCUGCCCUAAGGUGGAGGAUAACCUCGGGAAACUGAGAAUAAUACUCCAUAGGUCUAGGAUGCUGGAAUGCACUUAGGCUUAAAACUCCGGUGCCUUAGGAUGAGUCUGCGGACUAUCAGGUUGUAGUCAGGGUAAUGACCUGACUAGCCUACGACGGAUAUGGGUUGUGAGAGCAAUAACCCAGAGAUGAUAUCUGAGACACGAUAUCAGGCCCUACGGGGCGCAGCAGGCGCGAAAACUUCACAAUGUGCGAAAGCACGAUGAGGGAAUCCCAAGUGCUUGCACGUAAGUGUAAGCUGUUUCUAUGUUUAAAACGCAUGGAGAGUAAGGGCUGGGUAAGACGGGUGCCAGCCGCCGCGGUAAUACCUGCAGCUCGAGUGGUGGCCGCUAUUAUUGGGCCUAAAACGUCCGUAGCCGGUUUAAUAAAUGCCUGGGUAAAUCGUGUAGCUUAACUAUACGAAUUCUGGGUAGACUGUUAAACUUGAGAUCGGGAGAAGUUAGAGGUACUCCUGGGGUAGAGGUGAAAUUCUGUAAUCCUAGGGGGACCACCAGUGGCGAAGGCGUCUAGCUAGAACGGGUCUGACGGUGAGGGACGAAGCCCUGGGUCGCAAACCGGAUUAGAUACCCGGGUAGUCCAGGGUGUAAACGCUGCUUGCUUGAUGUUAGUCGGGCUCCGAGCCCGAUUAGUGUCGGAGAGAAGUUGUUAAGCAAGCUGCCUGGGAAGUACGGUCGCAAGGCUGAAACUUAAAGGAAUUGGCGGGGGAGCACAGCAACGGUGGAGCGUGCGGUUUAAUUGGAGUCAACGCCGGG